rnacentral:rRNA from 1 species
UACGUAGGGUGCAAGCGUUGUCCGGAAUUAUUGGGCGUAAAGAGCUCGUAGGCGGUUCGUCGCGUCGGCUGUGAAAUCCCGGAGCUCAACUCCGGGUCUGCAGUCGAUACGGGCGGACUCGAGUUCGGCAGGGGAGACUGGAAUUCCUGGUGUAGCGGUGAAAUGCGCAGAUAUCAGGAGGAACACCGGUGGCGAAGGCGGGUCUCUGGGCAGUAACUGACGCUGGAGGAGCGAAAGCCGUGGGGAGCGAACAGG